UACGUAGGGGGCAAGCGUUGUCCGGAAUCAUUGGGCGUAAAGAGCGUGUAGGCGGUCCGAUAAGUCCGCUCUGAAAGCCCGGGGCUCAACCCCGGGAGGCGGGCGGAUACUGUCGGGCUAGAGUCCGGAAGAGGCAAGUGGAAUUCCUGGUGUAGCGGUGAAAUGCGCAGAUAUCAGGAGGAACACCGGUGGCGAAGGCGGAUCUCUGGGCCUGUCCUGACGCUCAGGCGCGAAAGCUAGGGGAGCAAACAGG
rnacentral:rRNA from 1 species